UACGUAGGGUGCGAGCGUUGUCCGGAUUUAUUGGGCGUAAAGAGCUCGUAGGCGGUUUGUCGCGUCGGCCGUGAAAUCUCCACGCUUAACGUGGAGCGUGCGGUCGAUACGGGCAGACUUGAGUUCGGUAGGGGAGACUGGAAUUCCUGGUGUAGCGGUGAAAUGCGCAGAUAUCAGGAGGAACACCGGUGGCGAAGGCGGGUCUCUGGGCCGAUACUGACGCUGAGGAGCGAAAGCGUGGGGAGCGAACAGG
rnacentral:rRNA from 3 species